UACGGAGGGUGCAAGCAUUGUUCGGAAUUACUGAGCAUAAAGCGCACGUAGGCGGAUCUGUAUGUCGGAUGUGAAAGCCCCAGGCUUAACCUGGGAAUUGCAUCCAAAACUGCAAACCUUGAAUGCUUAAGAGAAUAACGGAAUUCCUGGUGUAGAAGUGAAAUUCAUAGAUAUCAGGAGGAACACCAAAGGCGAAGGCGGUUGUCUGGCAAUGCAUUGACACUGAAGUACAAAAGCACGGAGAGCAAACAGG
rnacentral:rRNA from 1 species